rnacentral:hammerhead_ribozyme from 1 species
AUCAAGUUGGCGAGUUCAAAAUAGAACGAAAUGCGCGUCCUGGAU